UACAGAGGUCUCAAGCGUUGUUCGGAUUCAUUGGGCGUAAAGGGUGCGUAGGCGGCGCGGUAAGUCGGGUGUGAAAUCUCGGGGCUUAACUCCGAAACUGCAUUCGAUACUGCCGUGCUUGAGGACUGGAGAGGAGACUGGAAUUCCUGGUGUAGCGGUGAAAUGCGCAGAUAUCAGGAGGAACACCGGUGGCGAAGGCGACUUCCUGGCCUGUUCUUGACGCUGAGGCGCGAAAGCUGGGGGAGCAAACGGG
rnacentral:rRNA from 1 species